UGACAGUACUCCUACGGGGAGGCAGCAGUGGGGGAAUAUUGCACAAUGGGCGCAAGCCUGAUGCAGCCAUGCCGCGUGUGUGAAGAAGGCCUUCGGGUUGUAAAGCACUUUCAGUCGUGAGGAAGGUGGUAGUGUUAAUAGCACUAUCAUUUGACGUUAGCGACAGAAGAAGCACCGGCUAACUCCGUGCCAGCAGCCGCGGUAAUACGGAGGGUGCGAGCGUUAAUCGGAAUUACUGGGCGUAAAGCGCAUGCAGGUGGUUUGUUAAGUCAGAUGUGAAAGCCCGGGGCGUCAACCUCGGAAUAGCAUUUGAAACUGGCAGACUAGAGUACUGUAGAGGGGGUAGGAAUUUCAGGUGUAGCGGUGAAAUAGCGUAGAGAUCUGAAGGAAUACCGGUGGCGAAGGCGGCCCCCUGGACAGAUACUGACACUCAGAUGCGAAAGCGUGGGGAGCAAACAGGAUUAGAUACCCUGGUAG
rnacentral:rRNA from 1 species